CCUACGGGUGGCAGCAGUGAGGAAUAUUGGUCAAUGGGCGAGAGCCUGAACCAGCCAAGUCGCGUGAGGGAGUACUGCCCUAUGGGUUGUAAACCUCUUUUGUCGGGGAGCAAAAGCCGGACGUGUCCGGCUGUGAGAGUACCCGAAGAAAAAGCAUCGGCUAACUCCGUGCCAGCAGCCGCGGUAAUACGGAGGAUGCGAGCGUUAUCCGGAUUUAUUGGGUUUAAAGGGUGCGCAGGCGGAUUUUUAAGUCAGCGGUAAAAUCGUGGGGCUCAACCCCAUCCAGCCGUUGAAACUGGGGAUCUAGAGUGUGCGAGAGGUAUGCGGAAUGCGUGGUGUAGCGGUGAAAUGCAUAGAUAUCACGCAGAACCCCGAUUGCGAAGGCAGCAUACCGGUGCACAACUGACGCUCAGGCACGAAAGCGUGGGGAUCGAACAGGAUUAGAUACCCGGGUAGUC
rnacentral:rRNA from 1 species